UAGGGAAUCUUCGGCAAUGGACGAAAGUCUGACCGAGCAACGCCGCGUGAGUGAAGAAGGUUUUCGGAUCGUAAAACUCUGUUGUUAGAGAAGAACAAGGACGUUAGUAACUGAACGUCCCCUGACGGUAUCUAACCAGAAAGCCACGGCUAACUACGUGCCAGCAGCCGCGGUAAUACGUAGGUGGCAAGCGUUGUCCGGAUUUAUUGGGCGUAAAGCGAGCGCAGGCGGUUUCUUAAGUCUGAUGUGAAAGCCCCCGGCUCAACCGGGGAGGGUCAUUGGAAACUGGGAGACUUGAGUGCAGAAGAGGAGAGUGGAAUUCCAAGUGUAGCGGUGAAAUGCGUAGAUAUAUGGAGGAACACCAGUGGAGAAGGCGGCCCUCUGGUCUGUAACUGACGCUGAGGCUCGAAAGCGUGGGGAGCAAACAGG
rnacentral:rRNA from 1 species